rnacentral:rRNA from 1 species
GACCUCAGAUCAGGUAGGACCACCGCCUGAACUUAAGCAUAUCAAUAAGGCGAGGAACAGAAACCAACAGGGAUUCCCCUAGUAGUGGCGAAUGAAGCGGGAAAAGCUCAAGUUUGAAAUCUGGCGGGCUUGUCCUGUCAGAGUUGUAAGCUGAAGAGGCAUCGACCGACGUCGUCCGGGCCCAAUUUCCUUGGAACAGGAAGUCAUUGAGGGUGAGAACCCCGUCUGCGGCUCGGAGCCUUCGUCCUUGUGUCGUGUCCUCGAAGAGUCGGGUUGUUUGGGAAUGCAGCUCAAAAUGGGUGGUAAAUUCCAUCUAAGGCUAAAUAUUGACGAGAGACCGAUAGCGAACAAGUAGAGUGAUCGAAAGAUGAAAAGUACUUUGAAAAGAGAGUGAAACAGUACGUGAAAUUGUUGAAAGGGAAGCGUUUGGCAUCAG